rnacentral:rRNA from 1 species
GAUGAACGCUAGCGGCAGGCUUAAUACAUGCAAGUCGAGGGGCAGCAUGAUUGUAGCAAUACAAUUGAUGGCGACCGGCAAACGGGUGCGGAACACGUACACAACCUUCCAAUAAGUGGGGAAUAGCCCAGAGAAAUUUGGAUUAAUACCCCGUAACAUAACGAUGUGGCAUCACAUUGUUAUUAUAGAUUUUUCGCUUAUUGAUGGGUGUGCGGCUGAUUAGAUAGUUGGCGGGGUAACGGCCCACCAAGUCUACGAUCAGUAGCUGAUGUGAGAGCAUGAUCGGCCACACGGGCACUAAGACCCGGGCCCGACUCCUACGGGAGGCAGCAGUAAGGAAUAUUGGACAAUGGACGCAAGUCUGAUCCAGCCAUGCCGCGUGAAGGAUUAAGGUCCUCUGGAUUGUAAACUUCUUUUAUAAGGGACGAAAAAAGGCUUUUCUAAGUCGUCUGACGGUACCUUAAGAAUAAGCACCGGCUAACUACGUGCCAGCCGCCGCCGUAAUAC